AGUCGACGAGAACCUUCCUUCGGGAAGUUAGUAAAGUGGCGAACGGGUGAGUAACACGUGGGUAAUCUACCCUAUGGUUUGGGAUAACAUCGGGAAACUGGUGCUAAUACCAAAUAAGCUCACAGGUUUCACGGAACCUGGGAGAAAAGAGGACCUCUUCUUGAAAGUUCUCGCCACAGGAUGAGCUCGCGGACCAUUAGCUAGUUGGUAGGGUAAUGGCUUACCAAGGCUACGAUGGUUAGCUGGUCUGAGAGGAUGAUCAGCCACACUGGGACUGACACACGGCCCAGACUCCUACGGGAGGCAGCAGUAGGGAAUAUUGCGCAAUGGGGGAAACCCUGACGCAGCAACGCCGCGUGGGUGAGGAAGGCCUUCGGGUUGUAAAGCCCUGUCGAGAGGGAAGAAAUGCAUAAAGGAACAAUACCCUUUGUGUUUGACGGUACCUUUAAAGGAAGCACCGGCCAACUCCGUGCCAGCAGCCGCGGUAAUACGGAGGGUGCAAGCGUUGUUCGGAAUUACUGGGCGUAAAGCGCGUGUAGGCGGCUUGUUAAGUCAGAUGUGAAAGCCCUCGGCUCAACCGAGGAAGUGCAUUUGAAACUGGCAGGCUUGAGUACGGGAGAGGGAGCGGAAUUCCUAGUGUAGAGGUGAAAUUCGUAGAUAUUAGGAGGAACACCCGUGGCGAAGGCGGCUUCCUGGACCGAUACUGACGCUGAGACGCGAAA
rnacentral:rRNA from 1 species